rnacentral:rRNA from 1 species
AUGGGUGCUCUUCGACGUCAACAAUGGCUCAAUGCCGCAUUUGUGCUCGCCGUGCUGCUCCUCGCCCAGGCGGAGGCGCGCGGGGUGACGAGCGCGUACCGGCGGAGGCUGGAGGCGGCCGAGGACAUGCCGCUGGACGCCGACGUCUUCGCCGUGCCGCCCGGGCACAACGCGCCCCAGCAGGUGCACGUCACGCUGGGCGACCAGGCCGGCACGGCCAUGACUGUGUCGUGGGUGACGGUCGACGAGGUCGGCAACAGCACCGUCAUGUACGGCCGCGCCAUGGGCAGGCUCGACAUGGCGGCCGAGGGCACGCACACGCGCUACAAGUACCACAACUACACCUCCGGGUUCAUCCACCACUGCACGCUCACCAACCUUGAGCAUGGCACCAAGUAUUACUACGCCAUGGGCUUCGGCCACACGGUGCGGACCUUCUGGUUCACUACCCCUCCCAAGCCCGGCCCGGACGUACCCUUCCGGCUGGGCCUCAUCGGCGACCUGGGCCAGACGUCCGACUCCAACAGCACACUGACCCACUACGAGGCCACCGGUGGUGACGCCGUGCUCUUCAUGGGCGAUCUCUCCUACGCCGACAAGCACCCCCUCCACGACAACAAUCGUUGGGACACGUGGGGCCGCUUCUCCGAGCGCAGCGUCGCCUACCAGCCAUGGAUCUGGGUCACCGGCAACCACGAGGUCGACUACGCACCGGAGCUUGGAGAGACGGCGCCGUUCAAACCCUUCAGCCAUCGGUACCCGACGCCGCACCGGUUGAGCGGCUCGCCGGAGCCCUACUGGUACUCGGUGAAGCUCGCGUCCGCGCACAUCAUCGUACUGUCCUCCUACUCCGCGUUCGGCAAGUACACGCCGCAGUACAAGUGGCUGGAGGCGGAGCUGAAGCGCGUGAACCGGAGCGAGACGCCGUGGCUGAUCGUGGCGUCGCACUCGCCGUGGUACAACAGCUACAACUUCCACUACAUGGAGGGCGAGCCGAUGCGCGUGCAGUUCGAGCAGUGGAUCGUAGAAGCUAGGGUUGACUUCGUCUUCGCCGGGCACGUGCAUGCAUAUGAGCGUAGCCACCGGGUGUCCAACAUCAAGUACAACAUCACAGACGGGAGGUGCAAGCCGGUGCGGGACCGCCGUGCGCCCGUGUACAUGACCAUCGGCGACGGUGGCAACAUCGAGGGGCUUGCCGACAGCAUGACGGAGCCGCAACCGAGCUACUCGGCGUUCCGGGAGGCUAGCUUUGGGCAUGCCUUGCUGGACAUCAAGAACCGCACGCAUGCUUACUACGCCUGGUACCGCAACGCCGACGGCGUCAAGGUCCCCGCCGACACCAUGUGGUUCACCAACCGCUACUACAUGCCCAACCACGACGACUCUCGUUGA